CGAAAGCCUGACGGAGCAAUACCGCGUGAGGGAGGAAGGCUCUUGGGUUGUAAACCUCUUUUAUCAGGGGAGAAUGACGGUGCCUGAAGAAUCAGCAUCGGCUAACUCCGUGCCAGCAGCCGCGGUAAUACGGAGGAUGCAAGCGUUAUCCGGAAUUAUUGGGCGUAAAGCGUCCGCAGGUGGCUCAUCAAGUCUGCUGUCAAAGGCAGGGGCUUAACCCCUGAAAGGCAGUGGAAACUGGAGAGCUAGAGUGCAGUAGGGGUAGAGGGAAUUCCCGGUGUAGCGGUGAAAUGCGUAGAGAUCGGGAAGAACAUCGGUGGCGAAAGCGCUCUGCUGGACUGCAACUGACACUAAAGGACGAAAGCUAGGGGAGCGAAUGGGAUU
rnacentral:rRNA from 1 species